UACGUAGGGACCUAGCGUUGUUCGGAUUUACUGGGCGUAAAGGGCGCGUAGGCGGCGCGGUAAGUCACUUGUGAAAUCUUUGAGCUUAACUCAGAACGGCCAAGUGAUACUGCAGUGCUAGAGUGUGGAAGGGGCAAUCGGAAUUCUUGGUGUAGCGGUGAAAUGCGUAGAUAUCAAGAGGAACACCUGAGGUGAAGACGGGUUGCUGGGCCAACACUGACGCUGAGGCGCGAAAGCCAGGGGAGCAAACGGG
rnacentral:rRNA from 1 species